rnacentral:miRNA from 14 species
GAAAUGCCUCCAUGAGAUCCAGCUGUAAGGCAUUUUCCCAAUAAGUGAUCAAGGGUGGGAGGGCCCCUUGUGGGUGGUGCCAUCCCUGGGCUGGUAGUCUUG